GACGUAGGAGGCGAGCGUUGUCCGGAUUCAUUGGGCGUAAAGAGCACGCAGGCGGUUUGGCAAGUCGGAUGUGAAAACCCGAAGCUCAGCUUCGGGCCUGCAUCCGAAACUGCCCGACUAGAGGUAGGUAGGGGAGAUCGGAAUUCCUGGUGUAGCGGUGAAAUGCGCAGAUAUCAGGGGGAACACCCGUGGCGAAAGCGGCGCGCUGGACCACUACUGACGCUGAGGAACGAAAGCUAGGGGAGCAAACAGG
rnacentral:rRNA from 1 species